CUUAUUUCAAAUCCUAAGAGAUGAUGCACUCAGUAUGCCAGCAAAUUUGGAAAACUCAGUAGUGGCCACAGGUUGCAGGGUAGUUGUCUGCUAAGGCUGCUGUCAUCUUGAAGCUCAAAUGAGGAAGACAGGGUGGUAGAAUUCACUGUCGCAGAACAGAAUGAAGAAAAAAGAAUGAAAAGAAAUGAGGACAGUCUUUGGGACAACAUAAAAUUCACCAACACUUGCAUUACAGGGCUCCCAGAAGGAUAGGAGAGAGAACCAGGAGGAUAAGAGAAAGAAAGAGCCUGGAAGGUAUUUGAACAGAUACUACUGAAAAAUUCCCUAGCAUGGGAAAGGAGAAAGCCACCCAAGUCCAGGGAACUCAGUGAGUCACAUACAUGAUUCACCCUCUUUCUCCACAGUUUCUGACUUACGGUGCUCCUCCAAGCUCAGGACCCCACGCUGCUCUCCAAGUCAGUACCUCUUCCUACUUUGACUUACUGCCAUCCUCCUCAUGCAGGAACUCCACUCCACACCAAGGACUAUCUCUGCAUAGUUUUUGUCUCACAGCGCUUCUCCUCAUCAGGAACCCUCACCUUCUCCAAGAACUGCACAGCUGUAGAAUUUGGUAUUUCUGCCUGGUUUCUGACCUAGUGUUCUCCUGCUCACUUGGGAUCUCCAUUUCGAAGCAAAACCCUCCACUCCUCUCCGAGUGAGUAUCUGUACCCAGUAUGUGACCUACGCGCUCAUCACUAAGAAUCCCUCACUCCUCUCCAAGUAAGUACAUCUUGCUAUCUCUGCUCUACUGUUGUCCUUCUAAAUCUGCAAGUCCACUACUGUUGAAUUUGAGUAUCUGCCUACUUUCGACUAACUGUGCUCCCCCUCACUCAGGACCUCCACUCGUCUCAAGUGAGCAUCUCUCCCUAGUUUCUGACUGCCUUCCCUCGUCCUCAGUCAGGUCCCUCCACUCCUCUCCACGUGAGUAUCUCUGCCCAGUUUCUCACCUAAUCGCUCCUCCUCAUUCAGGACAUCUACUCAUCUCCAAGUGAGCAUCACUGCCUACUUAACUGACUCCACUCAAGACUUCUCUCCCAGUGUGUAUCUCUACCCAGUGUCUGACCGAUGCGCCCCUGCUUACUCAGAUCCUCUCACAUCUUGCUAGUUUUGCGCACUGCCCUCCUUGUCAGUUAGGAACGCCAUUCCUGUGGAAUCUCUGCCUAGUUUGACUCACUGUGCUCCUCCUCAUCAGAAACCUCUGGUCCUGAGUAUCUGCUCAAUAUCCUAUGUGCUCUUCCUCACUCAAGACCCUCUUUCCUCUUCAAGUGAGUAUCUCAGACUAGUUUCUAACUUACUGAACUUCUCCUAAGUGACGACCCCCUGCCCCUGUCCUCUCCAAGUAAGUAUCUCGGACUACUUUCUAGUUGCGCUCCUCAUCACUCAAGACCUCCUCUCAUUUCCAAGUGAGUACCUCUUCCUAGUUUCUGACUUACUGCCCUCCUCGUCGCUCAAGACCUCCCACUCCUCUCCAAAUGAAUGUCUUUGUCUACCUUCUGACUUACCGCUCUCCUCCUCAUUGAGGAUGCCAGCACUGGUCACUGGGUGUGAAUUUUCUCCAUGUUUCUGUGUUCAAUAAAUAGUUUUUGGCGUGCUCUCCCA
ensembl:lncRNA